rnacentral:tRNA from 1 species
ACUCUCUUAGUAUAACUAAUAUAGCUGACUUCCAAUCAGUAGAUUCUGAUAUAAACGGAAGAGAGUA